UGGCUCUCGCAUCGAUGAAGAACGCAGCGAAAUGCGAUAAGUAAUGUGAAUUGCAGAAUUCAGUGAAUCAUCGAAUCUUUGAACGCACCUUGCGCUCCUUGGUAUUCCGAGGAGCAUGCCUGUUUGAGUAUCAUGAAAUCAUCAACCCCCCAGGACUUUGUUGUCUCGGUUGGGGCUUGGACUUGGGGGACUAUAUGCGGGCCUUUAACACGGGUCGGCUCCCCUUGAAUGCAUUAGCUGGGCACUACACGGCUCCAGCGGUUCACGGUGUGAUAAACUUACACCCAUGGGACCUCUGGUUGUUUUCCGGUCAAGCUUCUAAUCCGUCCCCCACCCCGGGACACUCUUUGACAUCCGAUCUCAAAUCAGGUAGGACUACCCGCUGA
rnacentral:misc_RNA from 1 species